rnacentral:rRNA from 1 species
ACGGGUGAGGAGAGCGUGGGAAUCUGCCUGUAGAUGGGGGAUAGCCCGGAGAAAUCCGGAUUAAUACCGCAUAAUACCUGAGGGUUAAAGUGGAGGAUCGCAAGACUUCACGUCUACAGAUGAGCCCACGUCAGAUUAGCUAGUUGGUAGGGUAAAGGCCUACCAAGGCGACGAUCUGUAGCUGGCCUGAGAGGGUGGCCAGCCACACUGGAACUGAGACACGGUCCAGACUCCUACAGGAGGCAGCAGUGGGGAAUAUUGGACAAUGGGCGCAAGCCUGAUCCAGCCAUGCCGCGUGUGUGAAGAAGGCCUUCGGGUUGUAAAGCACUUUAAGUUGGGAGGAAGGUUUGAUGGUUAAUACCCAUCAGAAUUGACGUUACCAACAGAAUAAGCACCGGCUAAUUCCGUGCCAGCAGCCGCGGUAAUACGGAAGGUGCGAGCGUUAAUCGGAAUUACUGGGCGUAAAGCGCACGUAGGUGGCGACUUAAGUCGGAUGUGAAAGCCCUGGGCUCAACCUGGGAAUUGCAUCCAAAACUACUGAGCUAGAGUACGGUAGAGGGUGGUGGAAUUUCCUGUGUAGCGGUGAAAUGCGUAGAUAUAGGAAGGAACACCAGUGGCGAAGGCGACCACCUGGACUGAUACUGACACUGAGGUGCGAAAGCGUGGGGAGCAAACAGGAUUAGAUACCCUGGUAGUCCACGCCGUAAACGAUGUCAACUAGCUGUUGGGUUCCUUGAGAACUUAGUAGCGAAGCUAACGGCGAUAAGUUUGACCGCCUGGGGGAGUACGGCCGCCAAGGUUAAAAACUCAAAUGGAAAUUGACGGGGGGCCC